UACGGGGGGGGCAAGCGUUGUUCGGAAUUACUGGGCGUAAAGGGCGCGUAGGCGGUCUGUUAAGUCGGAUGUGAAAACUCUGGGCUCAACCCAGAGCCUGCAUCCGAAACUGGCAGGCUAGAGUUCUGGAGGGGGUAGCGGAGUUCCUGGUGUAGCGGUGAAAUGCGUAGAUAUCAGGAAGAACACCCGUGGCGAAAGCGGCUCUCUGGAACGGUACUGACGCUGAGACGCGAAAGCGUGGGGAGCGAACAGG
rnacentral:rRNA from 1 species